CGCAGACUGGUGGAUUUUACCCGGAUACCGAGGAUCAUCUUACACCGAAUAGAUCUCUCACAGUGCUGGGUGUGUAAAGAGAAGGAGGUUCUCAAUGAAUUCAGCAACCAGGAGAGGAAGUCCACUUCAGAUAAAGAAGAACCAGAACAUCAAGAGUCCAAAGAGGAAGAGAAGCAACUCUGCAUCAGUCAGGAUGAAGAGCAUCUUGUGCUGAAACAGGAGACUGAUGACAUUUUGGUGAAUCCUCUUAAUGUGCAAAGAAUCCACAAUGAAACAGAA